GACGAACGCUGGCGGCGUGCUUAACACAUGCAAGUCGAACGGAAAGGCCCUGCUUGCAGGGUACUCGAGUGGCGAACGGGUGAGUAACACGUGGGUGAUCUGCCCUGCACUUCGGGAUAAGCCUGGGAAACUGGGUCUAAUACCGGAUAGGAGCCAUUUUUAGUGUGAUGGUUGGAAAGUUUUUUCGGUGUAGGAUGAGCUCACGGCCUAUCAGCUUGUUGGUGGGGUAAUGGCCUACCAAGGCGGCGACGGGUAGCCGGCCUGAGAGGGUGGACGGCCACAUUGGGACUGAGAUACGGCCCAGACUCCGACGGGAGGCAGCAGUGGGGAAUAUUGCACAAGGGGCGCAAGCCGGAUGCAGCGACGCCGCGUGGGGGAUGACGGCCUUCGGGUUGUAAACUCCUUUCGCUAGGGACGAAGCUUUUUGUGACGGUACCUAGAUAAGAAGCACCGGCUAACUACGUG
rnacentral:rRNA from 1 species